UGCCCUGCCCGCCACCGCCCCAGUCAACACCAGGCGACACCGUCCCUGCCAACCCCAGGUGCCGCCGCCGCCCUGGCAAUCCCAGGCCCCGCCAGGCUCCUGCUGUGACGCUGCUCCCGCCACGCGAUGCCGGCCUCCUCUCACGACGCCGCCGCCGACCCGCGCCACCACGUGCAGCCGCCGCUGCCGCCCCAACAUCGGUGAUGCCCACAUCUCCUCUUCCAACUCCGGUACGGCUUCUUCCCUUACCUCAAGAUCCUCCCAAGAUGGAGAUCCCCGUCCCUGCUCCCCAACCUGGCCGCCAUCGCCUCCACAGCACAGCUCCGACAUGCAGCUCCGAGUGCCUCUGCCUCUGCUGGCUCUAAUUGCCUCCGCCCGACGUCGGGCUCUGUAGAAAACCCUACUGUAUCACAUUUGUUUGUCGUUAUCCUCUGAAAAUGGCAUUAUUGCAGGUCAGUUUCGGCUGAUGCAUCAGUUCAGUUGCAAAAAAGAAAAGCGUUAUACCUUGUUGUCUACUCCGCUGACUUCUUUUCCUAUACUAUGUAGGUCAGCUUCGCCUGAUGCGUAAGUUCAGUUUCAUAGUGCACGAUAGGCAUGAUUCAGUAACGGUGCGGCUUCAAUUAGUUCGUAGCCAUCCUUUAGAAAGAUCAUACCUUGAUAUUCCAUUGUUUUAUCCUUUGUCCUGCGCAUUUUUAAGAACUAAAGUAAUGAAAGAAUUAUAUACCAUUGCAUCAUACCAACAUGGUUACAAAGACUUGUGUGAAUAGGCAAGAAAGGUCCAACUAGCAAAAGCGAUAUACUAUGAGUUUAUAGCCACAUGAAAAACAAAAUAUGUAUACAUGUUUGCUAUGUUGACGCAUAUAUUUAUCCUUAUUUACUUAUGCACUUUUGAAUGAUCCACCAUAUCUGCAAUCAUCAAACUGGAAGACAUAUUGUUUAAGGCCUAAUUUGCAGGUUACUUUCACUGCUUAUCUUUCUUUGUCAGCGCGCCUCUUUCCUCCAAUAAUAUGUCGAAGCUACUCCUUACAGCAAGGGAACGGUAGAUGAAAUCUUCACCAGUUACAAAUGUAUGCUGAAGCUACUCCUUACAGCAAGGAAACGGUGGAUGAAUCUACACAAGUUACAAAUGUACGCUGAAGCUACUCCUUACAGCAAGGAAACGGUGGAUGAAUCUACACAAGCUACAAAUGUAUGCUGAAGCUACUCCUUAAAGCAAGGAAAUGGUGGGUGAAUGCCUUCUGCCUUCAGAUAUUUGGUUCACGUCGGACGUCGAUGGCGAUAUAUGUAGAAAUCUUCUAGUAUCUCUUUUGCCUCCCCUUUUCCCUCUUCCAUUUUGUUGUUUGGAAAUCUCUGGUAGGCCUUUGAUUCACAAAGACUUCGGCAAUUAUUUGUACAAUAUAUAUGCAUAGGAAUUUUGUUCUCCA